GAUAUCCUGCCCUGAUGGUGAUGAAGAUGGAAAAGUUGAUCCGGCAAAUUAGAUCUUUAGGGAGCCUGCGUAAGGAAUGCGGUGAGCAGGCCCGGCACUCAACUGCAGAGAGUUUAUUCCUUGUUUUGGGUUGUAUCUCACUGCUGUUGAGUGCCGGGAAGCCUAAGCAUCCUUCAGGGCACCCACCUGUCUAUAGGGGAUCUAAUUUUUCAUCUACACCUCAGGGCGGGUGCCUA
rnacentral:other from 1 species